rnacentral:lncRNA from 1 species
GCCUCUGCUGUGGCUUGGGUUGCUGCUGAGGGGCGGGUUCAAUCUUUGCCCUGGCACAGUGUUAAGGGUCUGGCAUUGCCACACCUGUGGUGUAUGUUGCAGCUGCAUCUUGGAUUUCAUCCCUGGCCUGAGAACUUCCAUAUGCCACAGGUGCAGCCAUUAAAAAAAAAAAAAAAAAAAAAAAAGUUGUGUGCAUAAAAUGUCACUGUGUUAGAGCUUAAUGGUGUUAUGUGAACAUGCAUUCUCAUGCCUCUGACCUCAAUUUUUCCUUCUCUCUGUGUCCCAUCUUUCAGGCAGGAAUACCAAAGAGGAGAGGGACAAGCAGCCCUGCACAAUUCUGCCUGCCUGGCACCAUUGUCAUCUCUGGCCUCUAGGGUUUUCUCUCUCCCUGGAAUACCAUUCUCUUGCUUCUUAUUCUUCACAUGGCUACUGCUAUCUUGUAGCCAAGCCCUAGUAGAGACUUCACUUGUGACAAUUUGUCCAUACUUUUCAAGAUGGUGUUAAGUGUUCCUCCCACCUGCUCCCACAGUUCUUUGAAUAACCUGAACACAGAGCCUUUCAUGGGGUGUUGUAAUGACCUAGUGAGAACUAACAUUUACUGGGAACUUACUAUCAGUUCAGGGCUUAAAUGUACUAAUUUUUUUGGGGUGGGGGGGGCAACAAUCUCAUGAGGCAGAAGACAUUUUGGCCUUUAUUGUAUUGAAGGGAAGCUGGCUUAGAGAAGUUUAGUUAUAUGUUGUAACAAGCAGACUUUACAACUUUACAGUGGUGCCCAAUGUUCCCACCUCCUGGUGUCCACAGUCUUGUGCAAAACCCUUGCCUUGAACAUGGCUGAACCUAGGAAGUUCACUCGGAAAAAUAGAAUAUAGGAAAAGUGCUAAGAGGUCACUUCUGUGAUUCAGUUAUAAAAGACGGCAAUGUCUAUCUUGCUCGUAGAUUCUCUUUUUUGCCUUCUUGGCUUGUAUACUUUGAUGGGGCAAGAUAGCACAUUGGAAGGGCCUAUGUGGCAAAGGGCUGAGGGCAGCCUCCAGCUAACCGCUCAAGCACCCUUCUCGAAUUGAAUCCUGUCAACAACUGCAUGAGUAAACUUGGGAGCUGUCCUUCCACCGUUGAAACUGCAGAUGAGACCACAGCCAUGGGUGUGACUGCAACCUCGUGAAAGACUAUAUAACACAGAAGGCACAGCUAAACUAUGCCCAGAGGCCUGACUCACAGAAACUGAGGUAACUGUGUUCCAUUAAGCUGCUAAGGUUUGGGGUAAAGAUAGAUAACUUUAGAUUGUUAUCAAUAGAUAAUUAAAUUCUUGACUGAAGUCCCACAGGUAGAAGUAUAGAGUACACGGUUAAAAUCUGGUGAUAUUGACUCUGUAAUAAAUUCUUAUGUCACAGUACUUGGUUACUUUUUCUUUUUUUUUUAGGGCCACACCCAUGGCAUAUGGAGGUUCCCAGGCUAGGGGCCGAAUCGGAGCUGUAGCUGUCAGCCUAUACCACAGCCACAGCCACGUGGGAUCUGAGCCACCUCUGCAACCUGUACCACAGCUCACAGAAACACCAGAUCCUUAACCCACUGAGCGAGGCUGGGGAUUAAACCUGCGUCCUCAUGGAGGCUGGUCAGACUCGUUUCUGCUGAGCCACGACAGGAACUCCUACUUGGUUACUUAACUGUAUCUUCUUCAUUUAAAAAUAUUCUGAUUUUCAUUUUUAACAUUUAGUCUGGUAUUUUGUGUGUCUUCAAUAAUGAGUAGGUCUACAGAAAACAAAACCUUGUAUGGCGAAUUAGCCAAUCAAAAAAAUAAAUAAAUAAACUUUGUGUUUCUGAAAACUGGGUAAAAAGAGGAGAUAAGCAUAACACGCUGCCUGGGAACUUCACGUACUUCCGCACGCUCACUGAAACAUCAGAAAAAUCAAUUUUAACAUCUUUCUACCCCAGACUAUGGAUCAGGGCUCAUACAUGGGCCCUAAUUCGAAGUUAAUUCCUUUACCAAACAUUUUUUAAACACCUUCUGAAUUUCUGCCUCUGUGCAAGACUUUGGAAUACACAAUUAGAUUGAACAAUGUAAGGGGCAAGACCAAAUGCAAAUAGUGGCAUUAUUGUGUGACCUGAUAAGUGAUUUAAUUGACGUUUGAAUAAAGAACUGCGAGGAAUAAAGGAUAAACCAAAUAACUGAGUAGGGUGAUCUUCCAUUGUCUCUCUCUCUCACCCUUCCUUUCCCUGUUUACACACACACACAUCCAUCCUUGUAAACACACAUGGUAAUUCA